rnacentral:rRNA from 1 species
AUUGAACGCUGGCGGCAUGCUUUACACAUGCAAGUCGAACGGUAACAGGCCUUCGGGUGCUGACGAGUGGCGAACGGGUGAGUAAUGCAUCGGAACGUGCCCAGAGGUGGGGGAUAACGCAGCGCAAGCUGUGCUAAUACCGCAUGUGAUCUGAGGAUGAAAGCGGGGGACCAGGCAGCAAUGUUUGGCCUCGCGCCUUUGGAGCGGCCGAUGUCAGAUUAGGUAGUUGGUGGGGUAAAGGCCUACCAAGCCGACGAUCUGUAGCUGGUCUGAGAGGACGAUCAGCCACACUGGGACUGAGACACGGCCCAGACUCCUACGGGAGGCAGCAGUGGGGAAUUUUGGACAAUGGGCGCAAGCCUGAUCCAGCAAUGCCGCGUGCGGGAAGAAGGCCUUCGGGUUGUAAACCGCUUUUGUACGGAACGAAAAGGCUCUGGCUAAUACCUGGGGCUGAUGACGGUACCGUAAGAAUAAGCACCGGCUAACUACGUG